CCCUUAGAUGUUCUGGGCUGCACACGUGCUACACUGGCAGGUUAAGCGAGCUUCAUGCCCUGAUCUGAAAGGAAUGGGAAAUCUUUUCAAAACCUGCCGUGCUUGGGAUAGAUGUUUGCAAUUAUUCAUCUUCAACGAGGAUUGCCUUGUAAGCGCACGUCAUCAGCGUGCAUUGAAUACGACCCUGUAUUCUGUACACACCGCCCGUCGCUCCUACCGAUUGAAGUUUUCGGUGAGUUGACAGGAGGAUUUUUUUGAAACUGGUUCGCCAGUGGAUUUUAGAUCCAAAUGCCAACGAAUCGAUGGCUUUAGAGGAAGGAGAAGUCGUAACA
rnacentral:rRNA from 1 species